UUCAAGGAAAGAAAAGAAAAUCCUUAUGUAAAAUUGGUUAUAUAAAGACCUACCAAUGCUACAAGUGAAGUAUGCUACAAUAUAGACCAAACAAUGAAGCCUAAAAUUGUAUUUCACAACUAAGGGAGAUGGCAUACUCAAUCAAGCUUUUUAGCCUCUCUUUCACAAAUCGGAAGGGAAGUCAUAAAACUGUUACUUGUUUAUUCAACUAGCAAAAAUGCUCCAAGCAAUGCAAUGGAGUGAGUCUAAAGCACAAGUACUUGAACUUCUCUACUUGCCUAAUCAACAGAAGUUGUUCCGUAAGAAACUCUGAACCACAUAGAUACAAUAUGUUGGCCACUCAAACAAGUGAGCACCCCUUUCCCGUAAAAUCUUGAACUGCAGAGUUCUUCACCAACUUUACAAUGGUUAUAUUUACUUCUGAUGUAGAUUUUCAAUUGCCGACAUUAACUCGAUAAACCAGUGCACGCAAUAAUGUUAAUAAAUUUUUGAAAACAAAAUAUGUUUCUCAAGCUAGCAUUAGAUUGAAAUCCAAAAGGUUCCAAAUAUCCGAAUACGUAGUAGAAGUUAAUUGAAAAUGAAAAAGACAUGAUAAGUUGCAAUGCUACCUUAUCUUGGAAUCAAAUCAUGACAACCCACAUGCAAGUAACAACAACGAUAAUAGUUACAAGCAAAAACCCGAUCUAAAGCGGUGAAAUCGGGCUCCCUGGAUAGGCGGCCAAACAAAGGCGUGAUGCAUAAGAGUGUCAUGCACGUGGUCCAAGGAGUAGGCACUUUUACUAUGGACAGUCACUUGCAAGAAAUCUCGCUCCAUGGGGGAGGAGACUGUGAAAAUGGAUAUGCAGAGUAUCCGUUUGUGCCGCUCCAUUGUAUAACCAAAGAGGAGUGCACACAACUUCCCAUCGCCAAGGUCAAGAAUCCUGAAUCUAAUCCUAUGGGUUCGGUACAGCGUGGGUCUUAUCCCCUCAAAACACUUAUCAAGGUGUUCAUAAGUGUGUGAAAGGGCAAUUGACCCUCCUCAACUUCCAUUGGAAUUACUGGAGGUUCAACAUACGUGUGUGAAAGGGCAACACUGUAGUUGUUGUUGAGCCCUGGAACGGACACCGCAAAUUGAGGUAAAAAAGUAUAAUACAGCUGGUUCCAAUCAGGACGUAGUAACCUGCAUAUAUUAUAAUCACCAUCUCAUCAUCUGGCUUAUCCGUCCAAGACUUCGUUAUGGGGUCGAACAAAGUCCAAUAGGAAUGCUGGGAAAACGACUUUCGCUACGCAGAAAAGGAAGAGUCGGGCGCACCAGUUCCCAAUCUUUGAUAACGGCAGAAAGAACCAUCAGUGUAGGUUGAUGGCCUUCGAAUCUGGAAUCCACAUAAAAGUAAACAUCACCACAGCCGGAGAUGUUUGUGACAAAUGAUGACUUAAAGGGUACGGGUGGCUGAUUAAGGGAUUCCGUAGGCUUGAUUUCUUCCUCCUCAAAACCGGCGCCAUAUAGAUCUUGGAGUCGAACUCAAAAGGACACAAAUACUCCACUGGAAGUUUCAAAGAGAAAUAGAAGUUUAGUGGAGAUAAACUAGUCCAGUCC